rnacentral:rRNA from 1 species
AGCAGCCGCGGUAAUUCCAGCUCCAAUAGCGUAUAUUAAAGUUGUUGCAGUUAAAAAGCUCGUAGUUGAAUUUUGGGGUCAGUAGGUUGGUCAUGCCACUGGUAUGUACUGGUCUCACUGAUUCCUCCUUCCUGAUGAACUGUAAUGCCAUUAAUUUGGUGUUGCAGGGAAUCUGGACUGUUACUUUGAAAAAAUUAGAGUGUUUAAAGCAGGCUAACGCCUGAAUACAUUAGCAUGGAAUAAUGAAAUAGGACGUUCGAUCCUAUUUUGUUGGUUUCUAGGAUUGACGUAAUGAUUAAUAGGGAUAGUUGGGGGCAUUAGUAUUCAAUUGUCAGAGGUGAAAUUCUUGGAUUUAUUGAAGACUAACUACUGCGAAAGCAUUUGCCAAGGAUGUUUUCAUUAAUCAAGAACGAAAGUUAGGGGAUCGAAGACGAUCAGAUACCGUCGUAG